rnacentral:rRNA from 1 species
AUGAACGCUGUCGGCGUGCCUAAUACAUGCAAGUCGAGCGAACAGACGAGGAGUUUGCUCCUCUGACGUUAGCGGUGGACGGGUGAGUAACACGUGGAUAACCUACCUAUAAGACUGGGAUAACUUCGGGAAACCGGAGCUAAUACCGGAUAACAUGUUGAACCGCAUGGUUCAACAGUGAAGACGGUCUUGCUGUCACUUAUAGAUGGAUCCGCGCCGCAUUAGCUAGUUGGUAAGGUAACGGCUUACCAAGGCAACGAUGCGUAGCCGACCUGAGAGGGUGAUCGGCCACACUGGAACUGAGACACGGUCCAGACUCCUACGGGAGGCAGCAGUAGGGAAUCUUCCGCAAUGGGCGAAAGCCUGACGGAGCAACGCCGCGUGAGUGAAGAAGGUCUUCGGAUCGUAAAACUCUGUUAUUAGGGAAGAACAAAUGUGUAAGUAACUAUGCACGUCUUGACGGUACCUAAUCAGAAAGCCACGGCUAACUACGUG